CCGGUAAGGUGAUAUGAACCGUUAUAACCGGCGAUACCCGAAUGGGGAAACCCAGUGUGACUCGUCACACUAUCAUUAACUGAAUCCAUAGGUUAAUGAGGCGAACCGGGGGAACUGAAACAUCUAAGUACCCCGAGGAAAAGAAAUCAACCGAGAUUCCCCCAGUAGCGGCGAGCGAACGGGGAGGAGCCCAGAGCCUGAAUCAGCAUGUGUGUUAGUGGAAGCGUCUGGAAAGGCGCGCGAUACAGGGUGACAGCCCCGUACACAAAAGCGCAUGUGCUGUGAGCUCGAUGAGUAGGGCGGGACACGUGGUAUCCUGUCUGAAUAUGGGGGGACCAUCCUCCAAGGCUAAAUACUCCUGACUGACCGAUAGUGAACCAGUACCGUGAGGGAAAGGCGAAAAGAACCCCGGCGAGGGGAGUGAAAAAGAACCUGAAACCGU
rnacentral:rRNA from 5 species